rnacentral:lncRNA from 1 species
CCAUGGUAUUUCUGUCUCCACUUCGCUGCUCAGUCGGGUGCGCACAAACAGCACAGUCUUUCCUGCCAUGGCCCUGCUCUCAAGGGUACUGCUUACCCCAGUGAGAAGUAAGGGGACCACAUUUAUUUAGCCUACUGGGUGUCAGAUAUCACACACAUGUAAUCUCAUUUAAUCACUUCAAUCAUCGUGUGAAGUAGGUGUUUUAUUCCCAUUUUACAGAUGAGGUAACUAAAGCUUAGCAGGGUUAAGCAACUUGCCCAACAGCACCCAGCUAGGAAGGCUUUUUGUCUUUUUUCUUUUAUUUUCCUGCGGCCUAUGGAGGUUCCCAGGCUAGGGGUUGAAUUAGAACUGUAGCCGCCGGCCUAUGCCACAGCCACACAGGAUCCGAGCCACAUCUGUGACCUACACCACAGCUCAUGGCAACACCGGAUCCUUAACCCACUGAGCAAGGCCAGGGAUCAGACUCGCAACCUCAUGGUUCCUAGUCAGAUUCAUUAACCACUGAGCCACGACGGGAACUCCUAGAAAGGCUUUUCGAGUCUUCAGAGAAAUGGACUGAUCUGGAUGCUCUGAGCAGCCUGCUGGUUUACACUGCUGCUCUCCCUGGGAAAUUGUGGGUGAGCAGUGACCCAGGCAACGAAGGAAUAAAAAUCACUACUGAGGACAUGUCAGAUUUCACUUGCCUCCUCAGGCAGGCACGCAGGAAAGAGCUUUGCCUGGGAAGGUCUAUUAUGGCGGUUCUCACAGUGAGGCAGGACUAGCCACCUAGCAUCUCCUCAGGAAAAUCAUGCUCUCUUUGGAAAUGCAAGUUUUUGAGAUUAAAAAAAUUUUUUUUUCAAGUCUGCUUCUCAUCUGUAAUUUUAUAGUGACCAUCCUAUUUCCCAGUUGGUGGUUGCAGCAAUUAAAGUGGCAGGAGGAUCAGCUAGGGGCAUCUUAAGGGGGAAAAGCUAGAGGAUUCUGCCUCCUCUUCUGAGUCAAGCAUGGGCUGAAAGGAACCCCAAGAGGGAGGAGAGGUGGCAGCAGCUGAAAUACAAAACCAUGCUCCCUCGGUCUGUAGGAGAAAAGUGACCCCCAGAGAGAGCCCAGGGUGGGUGAGUGGGUGGGGGGCCAGUUCUCCGCAGGAGGCCGUGUGUGUCCAUCUCUGCUCCAGGCCUGCAGGGCUGAGCGAAGAGCUGUGCUGAGCCCCGCAUCCGGUCGGAAGUACAAGCAAGUCUGGAGCUCCUGGCUCCGGGGAUGCUGCAGCUGUUCUGAGGAUCUGCACAAUUAGAAUUCUCCUAGCGCUCGGUGCCCGCAGGAAUCCAGUCACGUGGUGGACGUGGUGCCUGGAGCUGGGGUCAAUGAGAGCUCAGUCUGCAAGAAAAAGCAUUCCUUCCCUCUGAGACACAGCCUGCUUCACUGUGCACUGCUGGGCUUUUGCUCAUAGGAUGCCUCACCACCUGCGGGGAAAGGGCGCAGGCCAGGACCCAGGCCAGAUUGCUGCCCCCGCCCCACGCCCCGGAGCUCAUAGUAUUUCCGGGUUUGGGGGACUGAAGAUUUCCCUUUUCUCCGACUUCCUCCAGGUCUCUUGGUGGGAAUGCAUUUCCUAGAAAUUUGCUCACAUCUGUGUUGUAAAUCUCCUAGCUAUUCUCCCUCCAGGCCCCUCAGUCCUCUUCUGCCGAAUGAGAUGUUGGAUCCAAGAUCCUGCCCAUUUUGAGCCUCCUGGGCUCCAGCCUGUUCUUGUUACUGAUGAACCUCCCUCCACACCCAGGACCAACAGCUAUUUCCACAGGGCAUUUGAUGCCUCCCUGUUGUUUUCCAGUUUGUUCUGUGCUGCUGCUUUUUUGUCCUUCCUAAGAAAACCCCCUCAUUCCUGUCAAAGACCUGUCAGAAAUCACUGCUCUCCUGUGUAAUAGGCACUAAUGUCCUAUCAGAAAUCCAUGAGCUUCUAGCAGCAAUCACUGUUUUCCUGUUAGAAAUCACUGUUGUGUCAAGAAUCACCCUCUCCUUUUAAAAACCACUGUUCUGAGAAGAAUCACCACCACUCUUUAGAAAGCCUUGUUCUCUUGUCAGAAAUCCACUAAUACCCUGUCAGAAGUCAACAUUUUCUGUCGGAAAUCCCUGUUUUCCUGUUAUAAACCAUUGCUUGCCUGUCAAAAAUCCCUGCUCUCCUGUCAGAAAUCCUGCUUUCCUGACAGAGAUCCCUGUUUCUUGUCAGAAGUCAUUACUUUCCUACUGGAAGUUGCUGCUCCUUGCCUGAUUCUUCUCUCCACAGGAUGUUCAGAGUUGUCUGUCAUGCUUUGACAUUGAUAGCUUUCCUGUAGCUUCUGUCCUGCCGGCUGUUCACACCUGUUUCGCUGCAUCUCUUUAAGCUCAGUGCCGGGUCUGGAAGCAGCCUGAGCCAAUGGGCACUGCACUGGGGCAUCCACAGUCUCGUGUGCCCCUCCUGACUGAUUACAGACAAGUCAUUUUUUGCUUGCUGGACCUUUUCCUCAUCCCUUUGUUAGGGAUAAUAUCACUCUGUCUGCUUCACAAGGUUAUUUAAUUUAAAUCAGUGACUGUUCUGACUUUUUUAUUUUUGGCCACAGCGUACAGCAGCUUAAUGUGGGAUCUCAGUUCCCAGACCAGAGAUUGAACUCGGGCCACAUUGGUGAAAGCACCAAAUCCUAACCACUAGACCACCAGGAAACUCCCCAGUUUUGAUUCUGAGAGAGCUCCCAAUGUCUCUCUUCCUAUAAUUUGCACUCACAGAGCAAGUCUAAUACUUCUCUGCUACAGGCUUUCAAAUCACCCCUAAAUCUCCUCUAACACAGUGGCUUCUUGUUCGCUCACAGCCAGAUUAAACGUUCUCAGUUCCCUGCAUGAUGUGAUUUCCAGACCUGUUGCCAGCCUGGCCACAUAAAAUCCCUCCCCCCACCCCAAGAUAUACUCUAGUUUGUUUGGGUUUCCCUAAAAGUGCGGUCUGAGCAACCAAGAGGAAGCAGGAUUAUCACCUCCCUCCUUCUAAAGCAGAAUAUUCUUGAGGCCCAAGAUUGCAUUAGCUUUUGUACCAUUUACCAAAUAGAAACUUCCCAGCCAAAAGCUCUAUUUAUUCAAUGUCUUUUUUUUUUUUUUUCCCUAUUAGAGUGUUUUAAUUUUCUCUGAAUAGAUUUUUGCAUGUACUUUUAGGUUAGAUCCAAAAUACUUUAAUGUUUUCGACUCUUCAGGGAAGAAAGUGCUCUUUUCUCCAUUGCAUUUCUUUCGAGUCUUCAUCCCUGGAAUCUGGAAAGGGUAUUGAUUUAAUUUUACUCUUACAAUCUGCAAUAUUCCUGAACAGAUUUGUCAUUUCUACUAAUAUUCCUAGAAUACAAUGUGUCUUUCUUGGAAGGCUUACCCAUUCUGUCUUACAGUGGGGAAAGCUUUAUUUAUGGCAAGACAUAGCAAUACUCCAAGCUGUAGCAUUUUUUCACUCAAAACAGGUGACAACACUCUCUUCAGCAGGAGUUUGCUGGCUGUACCUAAAAGAGUACACCAGAGUGCAAGGAAAUGAGGAUGGCAUUAUUAGACCAGUACUUUUUAAUUAAUUCUGAUUUCUGUUUUUAAAAGUAAAUUAUUCAAUAACUUUGAUAAUUCAAUCACUAAUAGCAACAAAUUGCUUAAUAAUUAAUUUAUAAAUAAAUAAAUAAUUUAUAACUGAGCAAUGAUCCCAGCAAAGUUGAGAUGAUUAUUAAAAUAGGCUUUUCCCAUUUCCUAUUCUGGCUCAGCAGAAAUGAAUCUGACUAGUAUCCCUGAGGACGCAGGUUCAAUCCCUGGCCUCACUCAGUGGGUUAAGGAUCUGGCAUUGCCAUGAGCUGUGGUGUAGGUCAAAGAUGAGGCUCAGAUCUGGUGUUGGUGUGGCUGUGCUAUAGGCCAGCGCCUAUAGCUCUGAUUCGACCCCUAGUCUGGGAACUUCCAUAUGCCUCAGGUGCGGCCCUAAAAAGACUAAAAAUAAAAUAGGCUUUUCGCCAAACUGCACACUUUUAAAAUGGUGAAUUUAAAAGUAUGUGGAGUUCCCUUGCAGCACAAUGAGUUAAGAAUCUGGCAUUGUUACUGCAGUGGCUUGGGUUGCUGCUGUGGUGUGGUUCCCUGGCCAGGGAACCUCCACGUGCUAUGAGCAUGGCCAAAAAAAAAAAAAGAAAAGGUAUGUGAAGUGAAUAUCUCCCCCUCUACUCCUCCCCUCCCCUCCAAAAAAAAAAAAAAAAAAAAAAAA